GACGAACGCUGGCGGCGUGCUUAACACAUGCAAGUCGAACGCUGAAGCUCAGCUUUUGUUGGGUGGAUGAGUGGCGAACGGGUGAGUAACACGUGAGUAACCUGCCCCCUUCUUUGGGAUAACGCCCGGAAACGGGUGCUAAUACUGGAUAUUCACUGGUCUUCACAUGGGGGUUGGUGGAAAGGGUUUUUCUGGUGGGGGAUGGGCUCGCGGCCUAUCAGCUUGUUGGUGGGGUGAUGGCCUACCAAGGCUUUGACGGGUAGCCGGCCUGAGGGGGUGACCGGUCACAUUGGGACUGAGAUACGGCCCAGACUCCUACGGGAGGCAGCAGUGGGGAAUAUUGCACAAUGGGCGCAAGCCUGAUGCAGCGACGCCGCGUGAGGGAUGGAGGCCUUCGGGUUGUGAACCUCUUUCGCUCAUGGUCAAGCCGCAACAAUGGUUGUGGUGAGGGUAGUGGGUAAAGAAGCGCCGGCUAACUACGUG
rnacentral:rRNA from 1 species